rnacentral:rRNA from 1 species
UACGUAGGGGGCGAGCGUUGUCCGGAAUGACUGGGCGGAAAGGGCGUGUAGGCGGCGCUGUAAGUCUGGAGUGAAAGUCCUGUUUUUAAGGUGGGAAUUGCUUUGGAUACUGCAGAGCUUGAGUGCGGAAGAGAUAAGUGGAAUUCCCAGUGUAGCGGUGAAAUGCGUAGAGAUUGGGAGGAACACCAGUGGCGAAGGCGACUUACUGGGCCGUAACUGACGCUGAGGCGCGAAAGCGUGGGGAGCGAAC